rnacentral:rRNA from 1 species
GAGUUUGAUCGUGGCUCAGGAUGAACGCUGGCGGCGUGCCUAAUACAUGCAAGUCGAGCGAACGGACGAGAAGCUUGCUUCUCUGAUGUUAGCGGCGGACGGGUGAGUAACACGUGGAUAACCUACCUAUAAGACUGGGAUAACUUCGGGAAACCGGAGCUAAUACCGGAUAAUAUUUUGAACCGCAUGGUUCAAAAGUGAAAGACGGUCUUGCUGUCACUUAUAGAUGGAUCCGCGCUGCAUUAGCUAGUUGGUAAGGUAACGGCUUACCAAGGCAACGAUGCAUAGCCGACCUGAGAGGGUGAUCGGCCACACUGGAACUGAGACACGGUCCAGACUCCUACGGGAGGCAGCAGUAGGGAAUCUUCCGCAAUGGGCGAAAGCCUGACGGAGCAACGCCGCGUGAGUGAUGAAGGUCUUCGGAUCGUAAAACUCUGUUAUUAGGGAAGAACAUAUGUGUAAGUAACUGUGCACAUCUUGACGGUACCUAAUCAGAAGCCACGGCUAACUACGUCG